AGAAGCACAAGCAUUUCACAACACUCACUUUAACAUCUGCUAACAGUGUGUUUGUGACCAAUAAAAUUAGAUUUGAUUUGACACUAUUGAGUUGACUGAGGUUAUACGGCACAGAACCCUCUGACACUAUUGAGUUGACUGAGGUUAUACGGCACAGAGCCCUCUGACACUAUUGAGUUGACUGAGGUUAUACGGCACAGAGGCCUCUGACACUAUUGAGUUGACUGAGGUUAUACGGCACAGAACCCUCUGACACUAUUGAGUUGACUGAGGUUAUACGGCACAGAGCCCUCUGACACUAUUGAGUUGACUGAGGUUAUACGGCACAGAACCCUCUGACACUAUUGAGUUGACUGAGGUUUUACGGCACAGAGGCCCCUGACACUAUUGAGUUGACUGAGACUGUAUAGGCUACUACUCAGGGUUUGAGGCUGAUAAUAAACAGAGGUCACAGAAAGAGCAUAGACAGAGGAUUUACACACCGAACGAUCAUAGUCACCUACACACGCAUUUACAAACACCAUGGGGAUGUUAUGGGAACAACCAGGGAUGAAAAAGGGCCCCAAAAAAUAUAUUCUGUCCAAUGAUCUGUCCUCUGAUGGAAUGAUAUCUCCAUUCCUGUGUAAUUUGCAGGGGAAAACAGGCCGGUCUGGAUCUGACGGUACUCCAAGUCCUAAAGGAUUUCGUGUAAAUUCUUUGUUUUGUCCUAAAUGAAUCUGUAGUGACAGAAGCAGUGUUUUUACAUACGUUGAUGUUUGUUGGAAUGUUUUUACAUAGGUUGAUGGAUGUACGGAUGCAUUAACCGUCUGGUCUCUGGUGUCACUGUAGGGGGAACCUGGCAUCAAUGGAAGGCCUGGGAUGGAGGGUAUCGAGGGUGACCUAGUGGAGUGACGGAACCUCCUGGGGAUACUGGCAUCAGGUUUCCUACACCUAAGGCCAGUUGAAAUCUGUUGUUAGAGAACACCUAGGGUGAUAAAGGAAACCAGGGAAGACCUGGACCCACCAGUCCCCAUGGGUAUGAGUGAACCAGGACUGCCGGGAGACCAUGGUCCACCUGGGUCUUUCAGCCCUCGUCGGCCACCAGGUCUGGGAAUAGUCGGCCCGAAGGGUGACCAGGGCUUCCCAGGGCAGCACGGACCACAGGGAGAGAGAGGAGUUGUGGAGCCAGGGCCGAAGGGUGAACCAGGACAUGACGGAUCCUCUGGGAUACCUGGUAUACUUGGGGAAGAUGGAGCGGUCCAACCUAAGGUAAGCAAGGUGUUGAAGUUCAUUUAGAGGUCAAAGUUCAUUGGGCACCAUUGUACAUCUACUACACAGUAUAAAGAGCACAGACAUUUGAAAUAGUUAUUACAUCACUUUUUAACUUGUUUAUUGUCUUCAUUUUCUUUGUCUUGAAACAUGGUGAGAUUGGUUUGCCAGGACUGCGAGGGAUAGAGGGUGCGCCUGGGAAAGGAAUUCCUGGAGAAAAGGUUUUCUCCAGGCUUUCUCAUGUGAAGGCUAUGGAUUUCUGCCUGCAUGGGUGACUGCUACCUCUCAUUGUUGUCCCCUAACCAAGUUUUGUAAUGAUGGGUCUACCAGGUCCUCCUGGCAGGGGUCUACCUGGGUCAAAGUGGUGGGGUGCAGACAGCCGUUGGACCCUGGGCCAUGUCGUCAGUAUGUGGUCGGGUGGUACUACGACCCGGAAGUCAACGCCUGUGCCCAGUUCUGGUACGGAGGUUGCCAGGGCAACGGAAAUCAGUUUGAGUCGGAAGCUGUGUGCAGGAGCACCUGCGACUGCACGUAACAGACAGUGGUGCUUUGUUUAAAGAGAGAAGGGCCGUGUGCAAAGCCUGCACCUUUCCCAGUGUUGAUGUCAGAGGGAUGCACUGAAGACAUGGGCUCCUAUCUAUCUAUGGCUGCAUCCCAAUUCUCCCAAGGAUGUGGAGUAUGUAAGUGCAUACUUUGGGAUAAGGGUGGAGAAUCGGGACACAUACUCUAUAUCAGUUACAGUUUGACCAAAGCUCAGGCGAACGACAGCACUGCUACACUGAUGCUCCAGAGAGGACCUGUAUACUCUAUUUCUCUAUUGUGUUCUUUAUGUAGUCUGUGAACCACCCCCUGUACUGUACAAAUAUUCAACCAGUUCAUAUUUUUUAUAUUUUCACACCCUUGUUUUUA